rnacentral:rRNA from 1 species
UCAAAUCAUCAUGCCCCUUAUGACCUGGGCUACACACGUGCUACAAUGGGCGGUACAAAGGGUCGCGAACCCGCGAGGGGGGAGCCAAUCCCAAAAAGCCGCUCUCAGUUCGGAUUGCAGGCUGCAACUCGCCUGCAUAAAGCCGGAAUCGCUAGUAAUCGCGGAUCAGCAUGCCGCGGUGAAUACGUUCCCGGGCCUU